UACGAAGGGGGCUAGCGUUGUUCGGAAUUACUGGGCGUAAAGCGCACGUAGGCGGAUCUUUAAGUCAGGGGUGAAAUCCCGGAGCUCAACUCCGGAACUGCCUUUGAUACUGGAGAUCUUGAGUCCGGGAGAGGUGAGUGGAAUUCCUAGUGUAGAGGUGAAAUUCGUAGAUAUUAGGAAGAACGCCAGUGGCGAAGGCGGCUCACUGGCCCGGUACUGACGCUGAGGCGCGAAAGCGUGGGGAGCAAACAGG
rnacentral:rRNA from 1 species